AGACUAACUGGCAUCAGACCAUGGCUGUGAAGGUGAUCUUCCAGGGCAAGCCUUACCCAUUACGCACAAGAUGUGCUGACCCCUAAGAUAUCCCCAAAUGGGGGAAACUGGCUUGCAUGCUGUAUGGUAGUGGGGGAUGGUAUUUGCACUCUUCUCCA
ensembl:snRNA U1 U1 spliceosomal RNA